rnacentral:misc_RNA from 1 species
GAUGAAGAACGUAGCGAAAUGCGAUAAGUAAUGUGAAUUGCAGAAUUCAGUGAAUCAUCGAAUCUUUGAACGCACCUUGCACCCUUUGGCAUUCUGAAGGGUAUGCUCGUUUGUGUGUCAUUGUACUCUCACACUCCCGAUCUUUGCAUUGGGAGCAGUGGACUUGGGUUUGCUGCUUCACCGUCGCUUACCUCAAAUAGGUUAGUGCAACUCUUGGUUGGACAUAGUACGGCGUGAUAAGUGUUCUUCGCCGGUGCCUCGCAAAGAGGGUGGCCGAUCGGGAUGUUGUGCUCCAAACCGUCUUCGGACAAUCUCUGACGACUUGACCUCAAAUCGAGUAAGACUACCCGCUGAACUUAAGCAUAUCAAUAAGCGGAGGA